rnacentral:rRNA from 1 species
UACAGAGGAGCCAAGCGUUGUCCGGAAUUAUUGGGCGUAAAGAGCUCGUAGGCGGUUUGUCGCGUCUGCUGUGAAAACCCGAGGCUCAACCUCGGGCCUGCAGUGGGUACGGGCAGACUAGAGUGCGGUAGGGGAGAUUGGAAUUCCUGGUGUAGCGGUGGAAUGCGCAGAUAUCAGGAGGAACACCAAUGGCGAAGGCAGAUCUCUGGGCCGUAACUGACGCUGAGGAGCGAAAGCAUGGGGAGCGAACAGG